rnacentral:tRNA from 1 species
GCCCGCAUAACUCAGGUCGGUAGAGUACGUUCCUUUUAAGAACGGAGUCGUUGGUUCGAAUCCAACUGCGGGUA